rnacentral:tRNA from 1 species
GCCUUCGUGGUGUAGUGGUCAGCACGCUCGACGCGUAUUCGAGAGGUCCGUGGUUCGAUUCCAGGCGAAGGCG